GAGUGAAGCGGCGGGGUGACCCAGCCGUGGACGCGACACGAGUGAGAAUGCAGGCAUGAGUAGCGAAAGACGUGUGAGAAACACGUCCUCCGAAAGACCAAGGGUUCCAGGGUCAAGCUAAUCUUCCCUGGGUAAGUCGGGACCUAAGGCGAGGCCGACAGGCGUAGUCGAUGGACAACGGGUUGAUAUUCCCGUACCGGCGAAGAACCGCCCAAGCUAAUCCAGUGGUGCUAAGAGUCCUAGCAUGGAAUGUUUCGGAUCCCUUCGGGGUGAUGUGCGUCUGUGUGAACGCUCGACCCCAUGCUGGUGCGGCUAGCGUAUUAACAGGUGUGACGCAGGAAGGUAGCCCAAGCCAGGCGAUGGUAGUCCUGGUGCAAGUGCGUAGGCCGAGUGAUAGGCAAAUCCGUCACUCAUUGAGGCUGAGACACGAUGCGGAUAAAAAGUGGGUGAUCCUAUGCUGCCGAGAAAAGCAUCGACGCGAGGUUCUAGCCGCCCGUACCCCAAACCGACUCAGGUGGUCAGGUAGAGAAUACC
rnacentral:rRNA from 1 species